AAAAUCAAUUCAAGACACUAAAGGAACAGAUUCCCCAGUAAUGUUUCAUGUGGAAGGAAGACUACUACAGUGACUGCAUGAAGUCAUUAGUAUGCCUUUACAAAUGGAAGCACAUUCUCAGAUCUUAGUGUGUUAAGUGCUACCAGCCUUCAUGCUAACAGUUUGCACUCUUCUGCAGUCAGUCACCUUUGUAGAAUUUGUGAACUGGCCCUUUGUAAAGUCUCCAUAAACUCUGCUUUUGAGGACCUCAGUAAACCAUCUACUGCUGUCCAUAGAGGAAACCAGGAGAAAAUAAGGAUGAAAAGGACAUGAUGAAUAAAAUUUUUCAGACUUGUAACUCCUAAAGACUCUGUUCCAUGUUUUCAUCAGUCCUUAGGUGUAGGAGUGAAAGGUUCAUGGUGUUUUGGGAACAUCCUUGUUGGAGAUCAAGGUGCAUUGUGCUGAUAGAUACUGAGCGCUGUCAGCUCGUGCUGCCAUCCAUAGGAGCUGAAAUGGAAUUCAGCCUUCUGCAAGAGAGUUAAUACAUUAUAUUUCAGCUUUGUGAGCUAGGAAUUGAACUUGUCUUCUUCCGUCUCUUGACUGACCACCCUGCAGCAUUAGUAUAAAUGUAGACAAGUGGUCCUUUGAUGUAUUUGCACUAAACGAUGCCAGUGGAGAUCAUGCACUGAAAUUCAUUUUCUAUGAACUUCUCGCAUGCUAUGAUCUGAUCAAUCGCUUCAAGGACUCCUACUUUCUCCAACUCCUGGACUUCUUCCAGAACUUCUCACACCUGAUGUGAAAUGUUUGAAGAUGAAAACUGAUUAGAAAUGCGUUGCCCUAUGAUACAUACUCAAGAAGGAAAUAGCUGUGCAACUCUAACAAUAGAACUAGGAAGGUUUAGGGUAUUGCAGUUUGUGCAAAGCAUUGAAGAAUCCCUGCUGCUUGUUGCAUAUAGAUACAGCUGCCACCACCUACGUAGUGUGCUCCCUAGAAAUCCCCUGAAUGUGGUUUUAUGUCAUGUGUACAGUUACACUCUGGGAGCCAAAAAAGCACAGCAAACCCAUAGUAUGGGAAGUCUGGAUUUGGCAGUGAAAAACCAGAAGUAUGAUGAAUGGCACUCCUCAUCAUAGAGUAUCUCAGACUUUCUAUAUGAUGCAUUUCAUUACAGACUCUAGAACGUGAGUAGUAAAGCAGUGAUAUAUACCAGAUUGUUGUGAGGGGAUGAGACAGACCCUUGCGUCCUAAAUAGAAAUAUUUCUCUAGGAACAGUACAACAAGUACUAUCUGUAACUUUUUUUUUGUUUGUUUUCCAGACAGCAUUUCAUGUUGUACAGACUCAUGUAUGUUUAUGUGCAUUUGUGAUUCAUCCAUCAUGUAAUCGGGGAUGGGAAAACCAUUUUGAGGAAGUGAACUUGAUUCACUCUCUCUUUUGAGUACUUGUUUAAGGUGUUCUAAGAUGUUAUUUAUUUGGGAAGUACAAACAGUACAAACUGCACUCUGGAGCCUCUUCUGAAAAUGAUCUCCUCCAAAUGCUAGCUAUUACAGGUGAUUUUUUCAUUU
rnacentral:lncRNA from 7 species